CAAAGGUUAAUUCCGGUGGCGGAUGGGCAUGCGUCGCAUUAGUUAGUUGGCGGUGUAACGGACCACCAAGACGACGAUGCGUAGGGGUUCUGAGAGGAAGGUCCCCCACACUGGUACUGAGACACGGACCAGACUCCUACGGGAGGCAGCAGUGAGGAAUAUUGGUCAAUGGGCGGGAGCCUGAACCAGCCAAGUCGCGUGAGGGAUGACGGCCCUAUGGGUUGUAAACCUCUUUUGCCGGGGAGCAAAGUGCCGCACGUGUGCGGUUUGGAGAGUACCCGGAGAAAAAGCAUCGGCUAACUCCGUGCCAGCAGCCGCGGUAAUACGGAGGAUGCGAGCGUUAUCCGGAUUUAUUGGGUUUAAAGGGUGCGUAGGCGGACGCUUAAGUCAGCGGUAAAAUUGCGGGGCUCAACCUCGUCGAGCCGUUGAAACUGGGUGCCUUGAGUGGGCGAGAAGUACGCGGAAUGCGUGGUGUAGCGGUGAAAUGCAUAGAUAUCACGCAGAACUCCGAUUGCGAAGGCAGCGUACCGGCGCCCAACUGACGCUGAAGCACGAAGGCGUGGGUAUCGAACAGGAUUAGAUACCCUGGUAGUCCACGCA
rnacentral:rRNA from 1 species